ensembl:lncRNA
CCUCGGUAGCCGUAAUGCUCCGACAAUCCAUCAAGCGGUGCAGCUCCGUAGCUUACCAAAGUCGAACUAAAACAUUUUUUGACAGAUUGCUGAGCGCUGUGUAUCACAUAAAAUCGGUUCGCGGUCAUCAAGCACAACCAGAAUUCAUACAAAAGGCGCGCAGUCAACUUUUGAGAAGAUGAAAGGAUUUCAGGCCGUGCAUGGCGUUAGCGUGGCUAGCUCGUUAGCGUGGUUAGCUCGUUAACACGUUGACACCGUCCAGCCCCACGCACGGGGCGAUGCGCAGUAACUCAUUAAUGGAGACUUGCCGUGUCCAUCUUGUCGCUGCCUGCAGGUGAAGCGAUGGGAGAGGAGGCGGAGUUGUGUUCAGUGAAGGAGAAGCGAGGUCGAGUAACGUUGCAUAAAGACAAAAGUGGACGAAAGAGAGGCAAACUUGCGGCUCCACAACUAUAAUUAUAACGUAACAUAGACUAUAUCGAUAUAAAGGAUAUUGCCACAUCUUAUAUCUCGUAUAAAAAUAUAUCGAUAUUUUUAAAAAACUCGAUAUAUCGCCCAGCUCCAGUUCAAAUUCAAUUCAAAGUAUAUUUAGGAGUAUUGUAAUGAUGUCUUUUUUUCUGUGGCUCACUUUAAAGAUGAAACAUAAAUAGGAUCCUGUACAGUAGGGGUGGGGGAACUCCAGCUUCAAGGGCUGGUGUCCUGCAGGUUUUAGAUGUGUCCUUGAUCCAACACAGCUGAUUUAAAUGGCUAAAUUAUCUCUUCAACAUGUCUUGCAGUUCUCCAGAGACCUGGUAAUGAACUAAUCAUUUGAUUCAGGUGUGUUGACCCAGGGUGAUAUCUAAAACCUGCAGGACACCGGCCCUUGAGGCCUGGAGUUCCUAACCCCUGCUGUACAGCAUCCUGCAAUGACUCAUGACUGUUGUUGAGCUGGCUGUCAAAUAUACUCGGUGGUCACUUACUUAGCUAAACCUGUUCAGCUGUUUAACACAAAUAUGUAAUCAGUCAACCACAUGUGACAUGGCUGUGGGAGUGGGUUAACACUGAGGUGGGGUGGUUAGCGCCAUCACUUUACGGUAAGAAGGUCCUGGGCUCCAUUUAAGUACUACACUUAUGUGUAGGUUAGUGAUUUUACAUUGGUUGUCUGUGCGAAUGAUUGACUUCCUUCCUGCAACAGAUUCUAACGUGCGGUGGAGAUGAAGUCAGCCACGGAGGUGUGCAGGUGGAUAGCGAAUGAGCAACAGCUUUUGACUUUCCAAAAGUACUCAUUUAUUUACAAUAUCAAAAAUAAAAGUGCCACCUCUACCACACAUUACUAAAGAGCACACUAGUCCGCAUACACACAGGAGCAUCCAUUACAGGGAGAGUACGAAGAAGAACAAAAAGGGGGUGACACACCAGUCAUGAGACAGAAGGCGCCACCAUGUGGUGAUACACUGCAUUACAACAGCAACUGUUACAAGAUUGUCAAACUUGACAGGCUGUAUCCCCAUUACAGUUGGGAUAGGUUCUCUUUCAUAGCAUUCGUUUCGUGUCUCACUAUGGGAACGCCUCCUGCGUGACCUCAUCAGAAGCUCAAAUACCAUUACGCCAGCCCUUACAGGCUGGCUAAGUGACGCCCAUGUCAGGAAGGGCUGGUUCCUCCCUAUAUAAUAGGCUGACAUAGCGUCAGAUGUCAUUCAAAAACCUCUUCUUGCUUCUCACAGAAGAUUGUAGACAACUGUGCUAUAGGGCUUUGGAGCGUGAUUAGGCCAAGCAAAGCACACGGAAGCGUCAGCUAUGGUUCGUACGUGCUGUGUUGUCGGUUGCAACGGUAGAUCACACGAUUGGGAAGGCAAGAAGCUGGAAAAUGGGCUCUCUUUUCAUCGUUUCCCCUCCUGGAGGCAAUGGGAGGGAUGUCAUGUAUCCG